GAGUGUAAUCUUGUUUGUUGUCAUAUAG
rnacentral:sRNA from 1 species